rnacentral:misc_RNA from 1 species
CACCCCUCAAGCCUCGCUUGGUAUUGGGCCCCGCCGCGUCGUCGGCGGGCCUUAAACGUGCUGGCGGCGUCGUGGGCCCCCGAAGCGCACAUGGUCUCGAACCGCGCGCGAGGACGGCCGCGGCGCCCGCCACGGUGAACCCUCCACCCUCG